rnacentral:rRNA from 1 species
CGCCUGGGGAGUGCGGCCGCAAGGUUAGAACUCAAAUGAAUUGACGGGGGCCCGCACAAGCGGUGGAGCAUGUGGUUUAAUUCGACGCAACGCGAAGAACCUUACCUGGCCUUGACAUCCAGAGAACUUUCCAGAGAUGGAUUGGUGCCUUCGGGAACUCUGAGACAGGUGCUGCAUGGCCGUCGUCAGCUCGUGUCGUGAGAUGUUGGGUUAAGUCCCGUAACGAGCGCAACCCCUAUCCCUGGUUGCUAGCAGGUAAUGCUGAGAACUCCAGGGAGACUGCCGGUGACAAACCGGAGGAAGGUGGGGAUGACGUCAGGUCAUCAUGGCCCUUACGGCCAGGGCUACACACGUGCUACAAUGGCGCGUACAGAGGGCUGCCAACUCGCGAGAGUGAGCCAAUCCCUUAAAACGCGUCGUAGUCCGGAUCGGAGUCUGCAACUCGACUCCGUGAAGUCGGAAUCGCUAGUAAUCGCGAAUCAGAAUGUCGCGGUGAAUACGUUCCCGGGCCUUGUACACACCGCCCGUCACACCAUGGGAGUGGAUUGUACCAGAAGUAGUUAGUCUAACCUUCGGGAGGACGAUUACCACGGUGUGGUUCAUGACUGGGGUGAAGUCGUAACAAGGUAACCGUA